GACGAACGCUGGCGGCGUGCUUAACACAUGCAAGUCGAACGGAAAGGCCCUGCUUUUGUGGGGUGCUCGAGUGGCGAACGGGUGAGUAGCACGUGAGUAACCUGCUCUUGAUUUUGGGAUAACAUCAGGGAACGGGGGCUAAUAUCGGACUGCAGCUCCUGCUCCAGGGUGUGGGCAGGAAAGUCUCGGCGGUUCGGGAUGGACUCGCGGCUUAUCAGCUAGUUGGUGGGGUAGUGGCUUACCAAGGCUUUGACGGGUAGCCGGCCUGAGAGGGUGAACGGCCACAAUGGGACUGAGAUACGGCCCAGGCUGGUACGGUAGGCAGCAGUGGAGAGCAUUGCCCAGUGGGCAGACGCCUGAUGCAGAGCCGCCGCGUACGGGAUGCCGGCCUUCGGGUAGUGAAGCGCUAUCGACUGUGACGGAGCAUGUGUGACGGUAAUGGGUAAAUAAGCACCGGCUAACUAAGUG
rnacentral:rRNA from 1 species